UACGUAGGGGGCAAGCGUUGUCCGGAAUCACUGGGCGUAAAGGGCGCGUAGGCGGCUGGUUAAGUCUUGUGUGAAAGUCCGGGGCUCAACCCCGGAUCGGCACGGGCGACUCGCUGGCUGGAGCCCACUAGAGGCGGGUGGAAUUCCGGGUGUAGCGGUGGAAUGCGUAGAGAUCCGGAAGAACACCGGUGGCGAAGGCGGCCCGCUGGGGUGGAGCUGACGCUGAGGCGCGACAGCGUGGGGAGCAAGCAGG
rnacentral:rRNA from 1 species